UACAGAGGGUGCGAGCGUUAAUCGGAAUUACUGGGCGUAAAGCGCGCGUAGGCGGCUUUGCAAGUCGGGUGUGAAAUCCCCAGGCUUAACCUGGGAACUGCAUUCGAGACUGCAUUGCUAGAGUAUGGGAGAGGGAUGCGGAAUUCCAGGUGUAGCGGUGAAAUGCGUAGAUAUCUGGAGGAACAUCGGUGGCGAAGGCGGCAUCCUGGACCGAUAUUGACGCUGAGGCGCGAAAGCCAGGGGAGCAAACGGG
rnacentral:rRNA from 1 species